UACGGGGGGGGCAAGCGUUGUUCGGAAUUACUGGGCGUAAAGGGCUUGUAGGUGGCCAACUAAGUCAGACGUGAAAUCCCUCGGCUUAACCGGGGAACUGCGUCUGAUACUGGAUGGCUUGAGGUUGGGAGAGGGACGCGGAAUUCCAGGUGUAGCGGUGAAAUGCGUAGAUAUCUGGAGGAACACCGGUGGCGAAGGCGGCGUCCUGGACCAAUUCUGACACUGAGGAGCGAAAGCCAGGGGAGCAAACGGG
rnacentral:rRNA from 1 species